GAUCAUGGCUCAGGAUGAACGCUAGCUACAGGCUUAACACAUGCAAGUCGAGGGGCAGCACCAUCAAAGCUUGCUUUGAUGGAUGGCGACCGGCGCACGGGUGAGUAACACGUAUCCAACCUGCCGACAACUCUGGGAUAGCCUUUCGAAAGAAAGAUUAAUACCGGAUGGCAUAGUCUUCCCGCAUGGGAUGAUUAUUAAAGAAUUUCGGUUGUCGAUGGGGAUGCGUU
rnacentral:rRNA from 1 species